rnacentral:rRNA from 1 species
GGGGUAAACCUGCGAAACUCGAAUGAACGAACGGAGAGAUUCAUCGUCAUUCCGCGGCGUACGUAUGCGCGUUCGCGAUGCUCGUCGGCCUCGGUCGGCGGGCACGUCGCGCAUGCGUCGACGUCCGCGGACGGCGUGCACUUCUCUCUCAGUAACGCAUGCAUCGCGACCCGUUCGAUGUCGGUCUAAGCGCCGUCCGGGAGCCCAGCCGCCCCUUCACGGGGGUGACUGGACCGUCGACGGACGCCGACCGGCCGUCGGACGGUAUGAUACACGACACGCGCACGCGUUUUAAACGCGUCCGGCCCGACGCAAGUCAACGUCGUAUCCGACGUUCCGCCCGAGCGCGGACGUAGGUGCGGCGCGUCUGUCGUCGCAGCCGUGCAGUCUCGGACCGUGCGCGUCUCAGUCUGCGAUGAUUCAGUUUCGGGCACUCGCAGGACCCGUCUUGAAACACGGACCAAGGAGUCUAGCAUGUAUGCGAGUCAUUGAGAUUAUUUUCAUUAAACUGAAAGGCGUAACGAAAGUGAAGGCGCGCGCUCGUCGCGCGCUCAGGGAGGAUGGAGCGUCGAUCUAGGUCGAUCUCUCGCACUCCCGAGGCGUCUCGUUUCCAAUCCGUGAAUGCAGGCGCGCUC